rnacentral:miRNA from 1 species
UGUGAACUGGUCAUGCUCUUAA